UGAGUACGAGCUGCUACGGCAGCGAAGUGGGUGACGUCAAGCUUCCAAGAAAAGCCCUAUACCCGUUAAGGCAUGAUGGUCUGUACCCGAAACCGACACAGGUGGGGUGGUAGAGAAUACCGAGGGGCGCGAGAUAACUCUCUCUAAGGAACUCGGCAAAAUGGCCCCGUAACUUCGGGAGAAGGGGUGCCACCGCAAGGUGGUCGCAGUGAAGAGGCCCAGGCGACUGUUUACCAAAAACACAGGUCUCCGCUAAGUCGCAAGACGAUGUAUGGGGGCUGACGCCUGCCCAGUGCCGGAAGGUUAAGGAAGCUGGUCAGCGUAAGCGAAGCUAGCGACUGAAGCCCCGGUGAACGGCGGCCGUAACGAUAACGGUCCUAAGGUAGCGAAAUUCCUUGUCGGGUAAGUUCCGACCCGCACGAAAGGCGUAACGAUCUGGGCGCUGUCUCGGAGAGAGGCUCGGCGAAAUAGAAUUGUCUGUGAAGAUGCGGACUACGUGCACCCGGACAGAAAGACCCUAUGAAGCUUUACUGUAGCUUGGUAUUGUGCUCGGGCUCGGAAUGCGCAGGAUAGGUGGGAGGCUAUGAACCAUUGCUUGUGGGUGAUGGUGAGCCACUGGUGAGAUACCACUCUUUCCGAGCUAGAGUUCUAACAGCCACCCGUUAUCCGGGGGCUGGACAGUAUCAGGUGGGCAGUUUGACUGGGGCGGUCGCCUCCUAAAGGGUAACGGAGGCGCGCAAAGGUUUGCUCAGGCUGGUUGGAAAUCAGCCGACGAGUGUAAAAGCAGAAGCAAGCUUGACUGUGAGACCUACAAGUCGAACAGGGAGGAAACUCGGCUUUAGUGAUCCGACGGUUCUGCGUGGAAGGGCCGUCGCUCAACGGAUAAAAGUUACUCUAGGAUAACAGGCUGAUCUCCCCCAAGAGUUCACAUCGACGGGGAGGUUUGGCACCUCGAUGUCGGCUCAUCGCAACCUGGGGCUGAAGUCGGUCCCAAGGGUUGGGCUGUUCGCCCAUUAAAGCGGUACGCGAGCUGGGUUCAGAACGUCGUGAGACAGUUCGGUCCAUAUCCGGUGCAUGCGCAGGAAUAUUGAGAGGAUUUCUCCCUAGUACGAGAGGACCGGGAGGAACGCACCUCUGGUGUACCAGUUAUCGUGCCAACGGUAAACGCUGGGUAGCCAUGUGCGGAGAGGAUAACCGCUGAAAGCAUCUAAGUGGGAAGCCCACCUCAAGAUGAGUAUUCCCAUGGGUUAACCCAGUAAGGUCACGGGAAGAACACCCGUUGAUAGGCUCUACGUGGAAGCGCAGUAAUGUGUGAAGCGGAGGAGUACUAAUAGACCGAGGGCUUG
rnacentral:rRNA from 1 species